GCCGAAAUAGCCUCAGUUGGGAGAAGCUGCUAGACUGAAGAUCUAAAGGUCCCUGGUUCAAUCCCGGGUUUCGGCA
rnacentral:tRNA from 1 species